rnacentral:rRNA from 1 species
CGAAUACGAGACGCUAAGGCGUCGAAGUAGUGUAUGUCAUACUUCCAAGAAAAGCUUGCACUGUCAUAGAUAAAAAACGCCUGUACCAUAACCGACACAGGUGGGUAGGUAGAGUAUACUAAGGGGCGCGAGAUAACUCUCUCUAAGGAACUCGGCAAAAUAACUCAGUAACUUCGGGAGAAGGAGUGCCUUAUUCUUAAGGUUGCAAUAACAAGAUCCAAGCAACUGUUUAUCAAAAACACAGGUCUCCGCUAAGUCGUAAGACGAUGUAUGGGGGCUGACGCCUGCCCAGUGCCAGAAGGUUAAAGAAGCUGGUUAGCAUUUGCGAAGCUAGUAACUGAAGCCCUGGUGAACGGCGGCCGUAACGAUAACGGUCCUAAGGUAGCGAAAUUCCUUGUCGGGUAAGUUCCGACCCGCACGAAAGGCGUAAUGAUUUGGAUACUGUCUCGGAGAGGGGCUCGGUGAAAUAGACUUGUCUGUGAAGAUGCGGACUACCUGCACCAGGACAGAAAGACCCUAUGAAGCUUUACUGUAACUUGAAAUUGAAAUUGGACUUUAUUCGCGCAGUAUAGGUGGGAGGCGUUGAUUAUAAUCUUGCGGGAUUAUUGGAGCCAUUAGUGAGAUACCACUCUUGUAAUGUUAGAUUUCUAACUUUGAAUCAUUAUCUGGUCAAAGAACAGUUUCAGGCGGGCAGUUUGACUGGGGCGGUCGCCUCCUAAACGGUAACGGAGGCGUACAAAGGUUUCCUCUGAACGGUUAGAAAUCGUAUCUAGAGUGUAAAGGCAUAAGGAAGCUUGACUGUGAGACCUACAAGUCGAGCAGGGACGAAAGUCGGUCUUAGUGAUCUGACGGUACUGAGUGGAAAGGCCGUCACUCAACGGAUAAAAGUUACUCUAGGAUAACAGGCUGAUCUCCCCCAAGAGUUCACAUCGACGGGGAGGUUUGGCACCUCAAUGUCGGCUCAUCGCAUCCUGGGGCGGUAGUACGUCCCAAGGGUUGGGCUGUUCGCCCAUGAAAGCGGUACGCGAGCUGGGUUCAGAACGUCGUGAGACAGUUCGGUCCAUAUCCGGUGUAGGCGUUAGAAUAUUGAGAGGAGCCUUCUUUAGUACGAGAGGACCGAGAAGGACAUACCUCUGGUGUACCAGUUAUCGUGCCAACGGUAAACGCUGGGUAGCUAUGUAUGGAGUGGGUAACCGCUGAAAGCAUCUAAGUGGGAAGCCCACCUCAAGAUAAGUAUUCUCAUC